rnacentral:rRNA from 1 species
UAGCCAGACUCCUACGGGAGGCAGCAGUGGGGGAUAUUGCACAAUGGGGGGAACCCUGAUGCAGCGACGCCGCGUGGGUGAAGAAGUCUUUCGGUAUGUAAAGCCCUAUCGGCAGGGAAGAAAUUGGACGGUACCUGACUAAGAAGCCCUGGCUAACUACGUGCCAGCAGCCGCGGUAAUACGUAGGGGGCAAGCGUUAUCCGGAUUCACUGGGUGUAAAGGGAGCGUAGACGGCCAUGCAAGCCAGGGGUGAAAGCCCGGGGCCCAACCCCGGGACUGCUCUGGAAACUGCGUCGCUGGAGUACGGGAGGGGCAGGCGGAAUUCCUGGUGUAGCGGUGAAAUGCGUAGAUAUCAGGAGGAACACCGGCGGCGAAGGCGGCCUGCUGGACCGUGACUGACGUUGAGGCUCGAGAGCGUGGGGAGCAAACAGGAUUAGAUACCCCCGUA